UACGAAGGGGGCUAGCGUUGCUCGGAAUCACUGGGCGUAAAGCGCACGUAGGCGGCUUUUUAAGUCAGGGGUGAAAUCCUGGAGCUCAACUCCAGAACUGCCUUUGAUACUGAGAAGCUUGAGUUCGGGAGAGGUGAGUGGAACUGCGAGUGUAGAGGUGAAAUUCGUAGAUAUUCGCAAGAACACCGGUGGCGUAGGCGGCUCUCUGGGCCAAUACUGACGCUGAUGCGCGAAAGCCAGGGGAGCAAACGGG
rnacentral:rRNA from 1 species